rnacentral:lncRNA from 7 species
UUAGGGAAAAGCGGUUGAAAGGAGAAAGGCAGAGAGCACGAAUGGGUGCCCUCCCCGCGCUGCGUUGCCGGGGGUAUGGCCAGUGUGAUGGAAACAAGGCCUGCCAGCUGGAUACAACUUUCAGAGAGCUGGUGGUGAAGUUCUGCUUUUCCAGCAUAUUGUUCUUUCAAGUCAAGGAAGGCUGCAAACUUCUCCACUGUUCCCCCGGUGAGGAAGGAACCACUCCACUAGAUUCUCUUCUAUUGCUGCCUCAGCAAUAUGGUGUUUGAGGAGGAACAGUGUCGAAGCCUCCUGUAUUAUAGGAGGACUGCAGCUUUUGGAGGAGCAAAGCAGGCUUCUAAGGUGGUCAAAGGCUGAAGACCCAGGGGAGCUUAAGGCAAAGCUGUGAAGAACUCAUUUUUGGCAAAUAAAAAUGACACUCAG